ensembl:miRNA mdo-mir-7378 mdo-mir-7378
GUGGGACAUCUUCCAUGGAACUGGAUAUGCACUAUAGCCCCUUAGGAGAUGUCCCAGUC